CCUACGGGAGGCAGCAGCUAAGAAUAUUCCGCAAUGGACGAAAGUCUGACGGAGCGACGCCGCGUGGAUGAUGAAGGCCGUAAGGUUGUAAAGUCCUUUUGCUGGGGAAGAAUAAGCGUGGGAGGGAAUGCCCGCGUGAUGACAUGAACCGACGAAUAAGUCCCGGCUAACUACGUGCCAGCAGCCGCGGUAAUCACGUAGGGGGCG
rnacentral:rRNA from 1 species